rnacentral:misc_RNA from 1 species
UUUGUUUGGUUACGAAGUGAAUAUAUAUUUUAUCAUUGUAUAAUUAUAAACUCUAAAAUUGUUAAGGAAUUCCUAUGUUAGAAGCUACUUCAGGGAUUAUUUGGGGGAUUCAACUACCCUAGGGCUCUUCCAUGAAAACUGAUGCAAAGCUGUUGUGUAAAUAAAAGACACGGUGGUGUUUUGAUUAAAAUGAAUAACUGA